AUGGCUGGAGAGCAAGCGUUCCACCGGGGAGGCGUGCACGGAGGCGGCAGCGCCAUCGGGCCGGACUACAUGCGGGCCAUCCGCGGCGACGACGACUACUACGGCGGGCACGGCCAGGGCUACAACCAGCCGGCGACCGUCACCCUCGCGAAGGGGGUGGCCGCGGCGGCGGCGGCCGGGUCGAUGCUGCUCCUGUCGGCCCUGACGCUGACGGGCACGGUGCUGGCGCUCAUCGUGGCGACGCCGCUGCUGGUGCUCUUCAGCCCCGUGCUGGUGCCCGCGGCCAUAGCCGUCACGAUGCUGACGGCCGGGUUCGUGUCGUCGGGGGCGUUCGGCGCGGCGGCGGUGGGCGUGCUGGCGUGGAUGUACAAGUAUCUGUCGCACGGCGCAUCCUCGCCGCCGGGGGCCGACACGGUGGACCACGCCGGUGCGAAGCUGGACUCCAAGGCGCACGAGGUGAAGAACUGGGCGCAGCAUCGCCUCGACCAGGCACGAACGCCGUAG
rnacentral:rRNA from 1 species